AGACCCGAAACCCGGUGAUCUAGCCAUGGGCAGGUUGAAGGUUGGGUAACACUAACUGGAGGACCGAACCGACUAAUGUUGAAAAAUUAGCGGAUGACCUGUGGCUGGGGGUGAAAGGCCAAUCAAACCGGGAGAUAGCUGGUUCUCCCCGAAAGCUAUUUAGGUAGCGCCUCGUGAAUUCAUCUCCGGGGGUAGAGCACUGUUUCGGCUAGGGGGCCAUCCCGGCUUACCAACCCGAUGCAAACUGCGAAUACCGGAGAAUGUUAUCACGGGAGACACACGGCGGGUGCUAACGUCCGUCGUGAAGAGGGAAACAACCCAGACCGCCAGCUAAGGUCCCAAAGUCAUGGUUAAGUGGGAAACGAUGUGGGAAGGCCCAGACAGCCAGGAUGUUGGCUUAGAAGCAGCCAUCAUUUAAAGAAAGCGUAAUAGCUCACUGGUCGAGUCGGCCUGCGCGGAAGAUGUAACGGGGCUAAACCAUGCACCGAAGCUGCGGCAGCGACACUCAGGUGUUGUUGGGUAGGGGAGCGUUCUGUAAGCCUGUGAAGGUGUGCUGUGAGGCAUGCUGGAGGUAUCAGAAGUGCGAAUGCUGACAUAAGUAACGAUAAAGCGGGUGAAAAGCCCGCUCGCCGGAAGACCAAGGGUUCCUGUCCAACGUUAAUCGGGGCAGGGUGAGUCGACCCCUAAGGCGAGGCCGAAAGGCGUAGUCGAUGGGAAACGGGUUAAUAUUCCCGUACUUGGUGUUACUGCGAAGGGGGGACGGAGAAGGCUAUGUUGGCCGGGCGACGGUUGUCCCGGUUUAAGCGUGUAGGUGUGUGUUCCAGGUAAAUCCGGUUCACUUUAACACUGAGGCGUGACGACGAGGCACUACGGUGCUGAAGCAACAAAUGCCCUGCUUCCAGGAAAAGCCUCUAAGCAUCAGGUAACAUCAAAUCGUACCCCAAACCGACACAGGUGGUCAGGUAGAGAAUACCAAGGCGCUUGAGAGAACUCGGGUGAAGGAACUAGGCAAAAUGGUGCCGUAACUUCGGGAGAAGGCACGCUGACA
rnacentral:rRNA from 1 species